CGCAACUUGCACCUUUUGGUAUUCCGAAAGGUAUGCCUGUUUGAGUGUCUUGAAACCUCACACCAAAGAGUUUUCUUUGGAAGUGGAAUUGGGUGUUGCGUCAGCUCACCUUGAAGGCCUUAGUGGCUCGAAGCCCAAGUCAGAUGUAAUAAGUUUCAUCGGCGCAAGCGGAGACUGCUUAUAAUCGUCCUCGGACACUUUUUCUAUCAGACCUCAAAUCAGGUAGGACUACCCGCUGAACUUAA
rnacentral:misc_RNA from 1 species